rnacentral:rRNA from 1 species
UGAGGAAUAUUGGACAAUGGGUGGAAGCCUGAUCCAGCCAUCCCGCGUGAAGGAUGACGGUCCUAUGGAUUGUAAACUUCUUUUGUACAGGGAUAAACCUGCCCUCGUGAGGGCAGCUGAAGGUACUGUACGAAUAAGCACCGGCUAACUCCGUGCCAGCAGCCGCGGUAAUACGGAGGGUGCGAGCGUUAUCCGGAUUUAUUGGGUUUAAAGGGUCCGUAGGCGGGCCUGUAAGUUAGUGGUGAAAUCUCAUAGCUUAACUAUGAAACUGCCAUUGAUACUGCAGGCCUUGAGUAAAUUUGAAGUGGCUGGAAUAAGUAGUGUAGCGGUGAAAUGCAUAGAUAUUACUUAGAACACCGAUUGCGAAGGCAGGUCACUAAGAUUUAACUGACGCUGAUGGACGAAAGCGUGGGGAGCGAACA